rnacentral:lncRNA from 1 species
GGGUGGGGAGAGCUAAGAACUCUACAUUAUGUUCUGUCUCGUUUCUUUUUUUAUAGCUCAUCAUAACCUAUGCCUAUUUUUCCCUUUGAAUCUUUCAUAGAUUCCAGUCAUAGGCCAGAUUCAAGACUCAACCCCAAUUAUUGGGUAUAAGAGACACAAUAGGUAUUCAAUAAACAUCGGUUGAAUUGAAUUAAAUGGGAUUGAAAUUGGCCCCACUAAGACAUAGAUCUCUUAGGGGUUGUUUGGCUGCAAAAACCAGAAAUCUAGAUGACUAGCUAAAGCUAAACAAGAAAAUUUACUGUAAGGAUACAUGGAUUUCUUUAUGAGAAAAUGCAAAAGGAAGUGGAAACUUACCAGGAAUGAAAGAGAAUGCUGUUUAUAAUUUUUAGGGAGCAUUGAGGUCAAGGAUCUGCCUCACUAUCCUUCCACCUUUGGCUCUGCUUGCAGUGGCUCUGGUUCUAUCCAUGCUUUUACUAAGCCUGCAAAUUCUGUAAAGCAGGAAACUACAAAAACGUUACAAAAGGCUCUGUCAAAAGAUUCUUCAAGUGAUUAAGGAUAGCACACUCUGCAUAGGAAAUGAAGCCCUCGGAGAGAUUUGAAGAAGCCCUUGGAGAGAUUUGAGAUAUCCCUAACGGAGAAAGAAUUGACCUUCAUUAUCUCAGGAAGGCUUUUGACAUAAAAGAGAAAGAGAAGAAACUGAUUACUUAAAGAGGAGAGAGAGCUGUAAAGAGAACUACGAGGAUGAGCAUCAGGCUUAAAGUGGCUUAAUUUAUAAACGGAUAAUUUAAAAAUAGAAUUGGAACAUUAAGCCUUAAUAUGACCUAUACUCCUCGCAAUCCAGAAGUGAAGGGAGAAAUGUGGACAUGAGAGGGGCACAGAGGAAGACUACCUGAAGACACACAGAGAGAAGGUGACCACGUGGUUGGAGUGGAGCAUCUACAAACCAACACACAUACCAAGGAUUGCUGGCAAGUAUCACCAGAAGCUAGAAGAGGCAAGAAAGGAUUCUCCCCAAAGCUGUCAGCAAAAACACAGCACUGAUGGUAUAAAGGAGUACAGACGAGGUCAAAAUUCUAAAAUUGGAAUCUUGCCAUUAACAAACAGAACUGACAUUCUGAUACUUCUAUCUGCUGUGGACGUGACACAGAGACUUACCAAAGCCAAGAUACAUUUAUUCAAGGAGGAGCAACUUGCCUUUAUACUUAUACCUUUGUUAAUAACUUGUUUAAAGCAAUCCUUUGUUUUCUUUGCAUAUUUGAAUUGAUUUGCUAAAAGUUAUCUACUGUUAAAUAAGCAAAACUCAAAAUUUUCAAGCAUAUGGGACUUGUUCAGAAUCAGUUUUUAGUUUCUUUUUCAGGAUUUUGUACAAGUUGCAAGAGAAGAGACACAAAAUUAUCUUAUUAAUUCUAUUGCAAUAUGGAGAUACAUUUUAAACAAAUGGAAAUAAUCAAUAUUAGUAUUAUCUGUAUAUUUGUGUGUGUGUGUGUUGAUCUGACUAUAUUUUUCUUCAAAGGGAAAUCACAAAGGCCAAGUGUGUUUAUCAGGUAACUCACCUUAAGAAAACUUGUACUAUGUGAAAAGUCAAUUUCUUUAAAAACUGUCACCAACUCAACCCUGGUUUGUAAGUAGAAAAAACUAUCAAUUAUUUUUUAACAAUAGUAAUACUCCCAAGGUAUAUACUUCUGCCACAAAAAAUUAAGAAUAGUUUACUUAGCACGUUUUGUCAUUGUGGAAAUCAUUGAGAAAAAUCACAGUGGAAAGUUAUUUGAAAAGGCAUAACUGUCAUUAGAAAGAAAUUAAGAAUAAAGAAGGCAGGCCUGGCGUGGUGGCUCAUGCCUGUAAUCCCAGCACUUUGGGAGGCUGAGGUGGGUGGAUCUCCUGAGGUCGGGAGUUCAAGACCAGCCUGACUAACAUGGAGAAACCCCAUCUCUACUAAAAAUACAAAAUUAGCCGGGGUGGUGGCACAUGCCUGUAAUCCCAGCUACUCGGGAGGCUGAGGCAGGAGAAUUGCUUGAACCCAGGAGAUGGAGGUUGCGGUGAGCUGAGAUGGUGCCAUUGCACUCCAGCCUGGGCAAAAAGAGUGAAACUCCACCUAAAAAAAAAAUAAAAAUAAUAAAAAAAUAAAGCAGUAAAAACAAAAUGUUUGCAUGUGUCAUUAUCUUUGUAUUGGUCGUCUAUUUUGUAAACUUUCAUCAUUACUUUAAGCAUUUCAGGCCACUUCUUCAGUCAUUAUUGUUGAUUAUCAUUUAGUCCUCCAAUUCCAUCAGAGUGUGCUAAGGUAGUAAAAUGAAAUUAGGCACAAUGCAUGGCAGAAGGUAUAGCAAUUUGAAAUGUCUUCCAAAAUCAAUUAGAUAUUACUUUGGGUUAGCAGUGGAGGUGGGAACAUAGUUACAGGUAAUUGAGAAUUGGCUGUGAAUAUGGGCUCAUACAUUGUGUUUUUGAACAUGUUGAUAUAAUUCUGUGAAAUGAGAGAAAUGGCCUCAAAUCACCUGGCUGCUUCUGCUUUAUUUUAUGGUUAGAUAUUCAACUGCCAUCACAGACUACAAUAGAGGAAAGCUGCUAUUAUUUAUCAAAGACUAGACCUGCUAGCUGAAGUGCAGUUCACCAUUCACUUGGGUGGUGGUAUGGCUCACCUCCAAAACACUGCUCAUGAGUUGACCUUAUUAUUUUUAUCUGCAUGUCUUGACCUAUAGCGGGCUUAAAAUGUCAUUAUCAACCUAAUGGAAAUACAGAUUUUUCAUUUUUUUCCCUUUCUCUGCCUUCUCUUUUUUCUUUUCUUUUCUUUUUU